UUCUGUGCCGGAGUUAACNCAAUAAGUACCCCGCCUGGGGAGUACGACCGCAAGGUUGAAACUCAAAGGAAUUGACGGGGGCCCGCACAAGCGGUGGAGUAUGUGGUUUAAUUCGACGCAACGCGAAGAACCUUACCAGGUCUUGACAUUGAUGGACAGAACUAGAGAUAGUUCCUCUUCUUCGGAAGCCAGAAAACAGGUGGUGCACGGUUGUCGUCAGCUCGUGUCGUGAGAUGUUGGGUUAAGUCCCGCAACGAGCGCAACCCCUAUCUUAUGUUGCCAGCACUUCGGGUGGGAACUCAUGAGAGACUGCCGCAGACAAUGCGGAGGAAGGCGGGGAUGACGUCAAAUCAUCAUGCCCCUUAUGACCUGGGCUACACACGUACUACAAUGGGAGUUAAUAGACGGAAGCGAGAUCGCGAGAUGGAGCAAAUCCGAGAAACACUCUCUCAGUUCGGAUCGUAGGCUGCAACUCGCCUACGUGAAGUCGGAAUCGCUAGUAAUCGCAGGUCAGCAUACUGCGGUGAAUACGUUCCCGGGCCUUGUACACACCGCCCGUCACACCACGAAAGUCGGAAG
rnacentral:rRNA from 1 species